rnacentral:rRNA from 1 species
CAGUAGCCACGGUAAUACAGAGGGUGCGAGCGUUAAUCGGAUUUACUGGGCGUAAAGCGUGCGUAGGCGGCUUCUUAAGUCGGAUGUGAAAUCACUGAGCUUAACUUAGGAAUUGCAUUCGAUAAUGGGAAGCUAGAGUAUGGGAGAGGAUGGUAGAAUUCCAGGUGUAGAGGUGAAAUGCGUAGAGAUCUGGAGGAAUACCGAUGGCGAAGGCAGCCAUCUGGCCUAAUACUGACGCUGAGGUACGAAAGCAUGGGGAGCAAACAGGAUUAGAUACCCGUGUAGUCCCUGUCUCUUAUAA